rnacentral:lncRNA from 1 species
AUGGCAAGAGAAAGACAGGGGCAAGAACAAGGACGGCCAUUACAGCAACAACCCCCAGAAACUGUCUCCCCCUGCCCAAAUCCACCGUCCCUUGGGGACCCCUGCCCUGGGCACACGACCCUGCACAACCCUGGCACCCCUAAAUUCCUAUGGACAUCCCAUGGCCUUUCCAACACCGUGGGCACAGCAAUUCCUGGUGCUCCUGGGGAUGCACCACAGAGCCUGUCCCAGCAUCCCAGGGAACACGCCACGGCCUCCUGCCCAAUGUCACCAGGGGACACGCCAUGCCCCCAAGCCCAACCAUCCUGGGGGACACACACAGGCCCCAGCCCACUGUCCCAAGGGACGCACAGAGUGCACCGCCCUAGGGACCCCCACAGCCCUAACCCACCCCAGGCGAUGCCACAAUGUCCCUCCGUGACCCCCAAACAAGCCCGGACACGCCACAUCCCACCCCCAACCCAAGACAUGGCACAACCUCUUAGGAACACACAACGGGGGUCCCAGCACAGCCCCCCCCAAACACAACGAGCGUCACAUCCCAGCCCCCUCCAAAACACAGCGGGGGUCACACCGCAGACCCCCCCGAACACACAACGGGGUCACAGCACAGCCCCCCAAAACACAGCGCGGGUCACAGCGCGCCCCAAAGCGCGUCCCCCUCAAAGGGAGCCGGGCCCCUCGCCGUCCCCGUCACUCACCGCCGGCCCGGCCCGGCCCGGCCCUGCCGCCCCCGGCCCGGCCCGGCCCGGCCCGCUCCGCUCGGGGCCCGGUGCCGGCACCGCCCCCGCGGAAGCCCCGCCCGUUCCGGCGGCCCCGGUGCGCCCCGGGCCCGGUAGUUCGCGGGGCCGCCAUGAGCGCGGCGCGGCCCGGGCCCGCCGCCUCCGCGGCGCUGCGGCGGCUCCGCUCGGCCGCGGGGAACGGGGGUACGGACAGGGAACCGGGGUACGGACAGGGGAUAGGGCACGGACAGGGGAUGGAGGGUACGGGACAGGGGAUCGGGGUACGGGACAGGGGAUCGGCGGUACGGACAGGAGGAGCGGGGGUACGGACAAGAGGAGCGGGGCUUCUUGGGGGUACGGGAAGAGGGGAUCGAGGACACGAGGCGUGCGGUAG